rnacentral:rRNA from 1 species
CAGCCGCCGCGGGAAUACGUAGGGUGCAAGCGUUAUCCGGAAUUAUUGGGCGUAAAGAGCUCGUAGGCGGUUUGUCGCGUCUGCUGUGAAAACUGGAGGCUCAACCUCCAGCCUGCAGUGGGUACGGGCAGACUAGAGUGCGGUAGGGGAGAUUGGAAUUCCUGGUGUAGCGGUGGAAUGCGCAGAUAUCAGGAGGAACACCGAUGGCGAAGGCAGAUCUCUGGGCCGUAACUGACGCUGAGGAGCGAAAGCGUGGGGAGCAAACAGGAUUAGAUACCCCUGUAGUCCCUGUCUCUUAUAC